CCCACGCCUUUAAUAACACUGGUUGGAACUCAUGAUUUUUUCAUCAUGUUAUUUGGUCUUCACUGCCAUUCAUUUCCAUUUUACCUGUUCUUAAUUUGCCUUGUUUACUUGUAAGUCAAAAUUAUGACUGAUAUUUGUCAAUUCUCAUAGCAAUACUCACACUUGCCAUCGUUUCUAGGAGAACACAUGUUUUAAUACUUGAAUGAGGUUUUACUUCUAGUUAAGCUAUUAAUCUACUUCAAAUGAUUUUUAGUUUAGUACAUAUUCUGCACUUUGGAAUUUCUGAUUUCAUAAUUGUCCAUGAUAGCAUACAAAAUAUUAGCACUGUAAUUACUUUGGGACAAAUUGUUAAUUGACUUGACUGUUUUUUUUUCUUUCAGCUUGUGUUGAUCAAGAUGAGGGUUGAUGCUUUGUUUGGCAGACAUUUUGGUCACUGAAUCUGUCCCUGUAAUGAGAAAAUUGUAGGAGAUUUUUCAUUUUUCAUGAUUCUUAGCAACUCUGCAAUAAGCUCUGUGAGCGUAUCUAUACAUUAAAUGGUGUUGCCAAUUUAAUACUGGAUUGGAACCACUAGCGAAGCAGCAUGAGGAACAACCACUUAUAGAACUGAGCUGGGAGCCAAAGAAGAUGUGAAAAUGAAUGUGGAUGUGGAGAGGACUACUUCUGCUGCUCUAGUAAAAGAUUAUGAAAAUGGGUUGUGUAUUUUUUUAAAGCAAAUGGAUCAUGAACUUGUGAUUUAUAGGAUUGAGAGGCAAAGGCAACGGUGGUGGUUCAGAAGGCUUGGGUAAGGUAGGCAAAGGAGACAGUAUGCUGCUUUAUAAGUAUCCUUGUACGUGUUGUGAUCUACUGGUUUUUUGUCUGCAGUGUCCAUGUUCAUACAUUUUGCAUUUGUGCUUCCUGGAUAUUCAUUGGAGAAAAGUUAUAGCAAUUGUCAGAAUUCUGCAGCUACAGAAAAAAAUUAGAUUAGAAUCGAAAUCAAAUUUCCCCUUUCAGCUGACGAACCCAUGUAGAUCCUAAUUCAAUGCUCUGUUUUCUCCUCUGCAUAUAAUCUCAUCACCCUACUCUCAAUCCUCUCGCGUUCAUAGAAUCUGCUUCCCCUUUUCCACUCUGCUGAAUUUCACUUCUCACCCUUUCGUUCCAAACCUCUUUCCACUCCCAAAUCUCGCACAAACCAAAGGGCUGGGCAAGGGAGGCGCUAAGAGGAACAAGAUGGUUCUUUGAGAUAACAUCUGGGGGAUCACCAAGCCUGCGGUUCAUCUGCUGGCUCAUAGAGGUGGAUGAAGGGGAUCAGUGAGUUGACCUACAAGGAGACUCGUGGUGUCCUGAAGAUUGGAUAAAUUACUAUGUGAUCCUUGGAUUUUGAUAAUAUUAACGAUUUAGAUUCCUCUAUUUUUGAAAGGAAAAAAUUAGUAUUUAGUAUUUUAUUAUAGCGAAAUGAAUGAUUAGAUUCUCGUAUUUUAAAAAAUAA
rnacentral:misc_RNA from 1 species